CCGUGAUCGGGCACGCGCCCCCACCCCUCCUCGACGCAGUUGCUAGCAGCCAAAGACGACACGGAGGAUUAAAAAAACAUGGACGCUUCAAAAGAGAAAUCUGGAGCCACAAAGAUUUGUCCACAUGGCAAAACUUCGACGCGGAGCAUCAAAGGCUCGGCAGUGCUUUGACUGAGAGCAGAAGAGGACACUUACACAACAUCCUCCAUAGCAAGGCAAGCCACAAAAAUCAUGGUUACAGCCUGCCAAGUGUCACUUGAGGGUUUCCUCUGUUAUACUUACAGUCCUGCUGGGCUUCUGUGCUGGCAAAGCACUCGCUGAAGAGGCAAUGCAUGGUGUGG